AUGCAACAGGGGGACACCUGAGGACACAGAAUAAAGAAGGACCAUGUGAAACUCAUGAAGAGGAUGGUCAGAGUUGUCCAUAGCUUUCUUGACUCUUAUGAAGAAUCCUUCUUUGCAUCAUCUCCAGAGGUUCCACAGUCGUCUCCAGAACAGAACCAGAACAAAUCCAGCCUUCUUUAUCAGAUUGUUGAGCCUUUUGAGGUUCCUGGCUCUGAUGCUGCUGCACCAACAGAUGAUAGCAGAAGAGAUGACACUCUCAGCAUCAGACUUAAAGAUCUGCAGCAACUUGCUGCAAAUCUUGAAGGAUCGUAGCUUCCUCGAGAAGCGCAGUCUGCUCUGUCUCUUUAUAUAGACGGCUUCACUGUUGCGUCUCCAGUCCAGUCUGUGUUCCAGAUGAACACCGAGUCAAGAUUAGAUGAUUGUUCCCACACCAGGCCACAAAGUGAUCCACCAGAUCUCUGUACUCAGCCUCUUGUCUUUCUCUGAUACACACAACAACUGCAGAGUCGUCUGAGUAUUUCUGUAGAUGACAGAAGUUGGACUUGUGCGGGAAGUCUGAACAGUAGAGAGUGAAAAUGAAUGGUGAGAGUACAGUGCCCUGUGGUGUUCCCAUGUUGUUGACCACCUGGUUAGACACACAGUCCUUCAGUCUCACAAACUGUAUUCUGUUUGUCAGGUAGUCACAGAUGCAGGUGAUUGUUGAGGCUUCCACCUGUGUCUUCUGGAGUUUCUAACAGAGCAGAUCAGGCUGAAUUGUGUUCAAUGCACCUGAGAACCAAAGACCCUGAUCCUCACUGUGCUGCCUGCUUUGUCCAGAUGACAGUGGGUUUGUUGAAGCAGGUGUCUGAUCAACUCCAACUCCAUGGCGAUAAGCAAACUGCAGGGGGUCCUGAUAUGUGAUCGUCUGCUUACUCAAGUGGGCCACCAGGAGUCUCUCCAGGACCUUCAUGAUGUGCGAUGCCAGGGCAACGGGUCUACAGUCGUUAUGACUGAUGGGUGACUUUUCUUCGGUACCGGAACCAGGCAGGAUG